rnacentral:misc_RNA from 1 species
GCGCUUCAUUCCAUUCGACUGCAAUAUGGGGCGCCUUUUGAUAGCCACUCUCUUCUUCUGUUAUCAGUCCUAUUCCUUUACAUGACCGACCUGACAUUGAGACCUAAAUCGCAACUUCUCGGACCUUUUCGACAACUGGGCUGAUUGGUUUCAGCAAUGUCCCUUGGUGUUUUCAAAAGACAGAUGAACUCUUCCCUAUUUCAGUGGACUUAUCUCUGGAGGCUGACCAUGCCUGUCACGGCCAUCACCACUGCACCAGCGUACAGUGUCCGAGCACCACGAGCGCCAGUUCAAUCUGUGUCCACGGGGAGUGUCGAUGUUCUCAAUGUCAGUAGAGAGAGAGAGAGAGAGAGAGAGAAGAGAGAGAGAGAGAGAGAGAGAGAGAGAGAGAGAGAGAGAGAGAGAGAGAGAGAGCUUUUCAAAUAUUUUCAUAUGGAUUAUGACUUAAUCGCGACAAAACAGACUGGCGUAGGAUAUUAAAGCUUGGAGAUCAGUGUUCGUGAGACACAUGAACUGUUUUAUCUCUGUAGUUGGCGUUGGGCUGCUUUGCCAUGCCUACCAUCAUGCGGACAACACCCAUGACCUGAACUGUGUUGACGCAGGCGUUAAUUGUACCGACGGCCAUAGACCAAGCUGCCACGGCGGAUAUUGUGCAUGCACCCAUAACUCAGUCCAUUGUCAUACUGUGAACGAUUGCAUACACGGGGAUCAGGACUUCCACCUCGGACAGUGCGUGGACGUGGGCGGCGUACACGGUUUCUGGUUUUGUUCUGCAGAUCAUCAGUGUAAAUGUAUAUUCUACUCCCACACGAACGCCAGCAGUUUAGUUGGUUAAAAUAAACCAAAAUCUAUAU